UUUGGCUAUCCCUAUAGGAGCUUCUGCAAGGCUCGGGAAUUGUGGGAUACUCCAGUAAAUAGCUAGUGGCAGUAGAUAAUGUGGCAACGAGCAUCGCAGCGAGUACAAGUGAGUGGUUAGUCAUGAUCGACAAGGAACUAUUCAGUGGAGCUACUCGUUUGAUCAGCAGUACUUCUAUAGUAAAACACGUCUCCAUGCAAGCAACCAUUCACUCGGAUCUAAGAAACAAAGGCAACAAAGUUUGCAGCUCUAAAGCAAGUACUCUUGGGAAAGAAAGUGGAGACAAUAAUUAAAAUGUAGUAACAUAAUUAUUAUACUGUUCAAGAGAUUAUCACAGGCACUAAGACAGGCUAAGGAGAAUUACUGGAAGAAAACGCUCCUGAGUCCAUCUAAUCUCAGCCACAAAGCAGUAAAUUCUUUGUUUCACUAUUACACGCUUUAUAUAAUGAAUGUACAUAUACCUGCAUGUAAAUGCAUGAGAUAUAAAUGAUUGAUUAUGACAAACAGGGAGAAAGAGGUACAACGAAUACUCUGAGAAGAUUGUCUUGGUUACAAGAUGCCUGCAUUGUGCCGAUCCGAGUGAAUGGUUGCUGGGUUCAAUGGAAACAGCAAAUGAUGGAAGGUAUCAACUCAUAUACAUGAAUGUGUGCUGGACAGCCCACUUUGUGUGUACGCGUGUAUCUUAGAGACGUGUUCGACUAGAUGUUGAAGUAAAGUACCGUGCUGACCAAACUACUGACAUGGCACCGCAAUGCUGCUUUCGAAUGCUCGAAACAAUAAUGGAAUGCUAUCAAACAUUAUUUAAUUGCCCUGAAUGGUUACCUACAAAUUAAUCAUGUUCAAUAUUUGUAAUAACAAUUUUAAUGUUAUUUUGGUAACAAUGGGUGAUCUGUUUUCGU